GAGUGCUUCAAGCGUUAUCCGGAAUCAUUGGGCGUAAAGGGUGUGUAGGCGGUUAUGUUAGUCUUCCGUUAAAUUCUUCGGCUCAACCGGGGGCAUGCGGAGGAAACGGCAUAACUUGAGGAUGGAAGGGGUCUCUGGAACUCAUGGUGUAGCGGUGAAAUGCGUUGAUAUCAUGGGGAACACCGAAAGCGAAGGCAAGAGACUGGUCCACUCCUGACGCUGAAACACGAAAGCGUGGGUCGCGAAUGGGAUUAGAUACCCCAGUAGUCCACGCCCUAAACGAUGAUAACUAGAUUUGGGGAGUAUCGACCCUCUCCGAGUCGUAGCAAACGCGUUAAGUUAUCCGCCUGGGUAGUACGGCCGCAAGGUUG
rnacentral:rRNA from 1 species